CUGUCCUCACGCUCUUUAUUAAGCACCAAGACACCCCCAUUGUUAAGGCCAAUAACCGGGCCCUCAGCUACAUCCUGCUCAUCUCCCUCAU